GACGAACGCUGGCGGCGUGCCUAAUACAUGCAAAGUCGAGCGGACAGAUUGGGAGCUUGCUCCCUGAUGUAGCGGCGGACGGGUGAGUAACACGUGGGUAACCUGCCUGUAAGAUGGGAUAACUCCGGGAAACCGGGGCUAAUACCGGAUGCUUGAUUGAACCGCAUGGUUCAAUUAUAAAAGGUGGCUUUUAGCUACCACUUACAGAUGGACCCGCGGCGCAUUAGCUAGUUGGUGAGGUAACGGCUCACCAAGGCACGAUGCGUAGCGACCUGAGAGGGUGAUCGGCCACACUGGGACUGAGACACGGCCCAGACUCCUACGGGAGGCAGCAGUAGGGAAUCUUCCGCAAUGGACGAAAGUCUGACGGAGCAACGCCGCGUGAGUGAUGAAGGUUUUCGGAUCGUAAAACUCUGUUGUUAGGGAAGAACAAGUACCGUUCGAAUAGGGCGGUACCUUGACGGUACCUAACCAGAAAGCCACGGCUAAUACGUGCCAGCAGCCGCGGUAAUACGUAGGUGGCAAGCGUUGUCCGGAAUUAUUGGGCGUAAAGCGCGCGCAGGCGGUUUCUUAAGUCUGAUGUGAAAGCCCCCGGCUCAACCGGGGAGGGUCAUUGGAAACUGGGGAACUUGAGUGCAGAAGAGGAGAGUGGAAUUCCACGUGUAGCGGUGAAAUGCGUAGAGAUGUGGAGGAACACCAGUGGCGAAGGCGACUCUCUGGUCUGUAACUGACGCUGAGGCCGA
rnacentral:rRNA from 1 species